rnacentral:rRNA from 1 species
CACGUAGGGUGCGAGCGUUGUCCGGAAUUAUUGGGCGUAAAGAGCUCGUAGGCGGUGUGUCGCGUCGGCCGUGAAAACCUGCAGCUUAACUGUGGGCUUGCGGUCGAUACGGGCAUCACUGGAGUUCGGCAGGGGAGACUGGAAUUCCUGGUGUAGCGGUGAAAUGCGCAGAUAUCAGGAGGAACACCUGAGGUGAAGACGGGUUGCUGGGCCAACACUGACGCUGAGGCGCGAAAGCCAGGGGAGCAAACGGG